rnacentral:lncRNA from 1 species
CCAAACUAAAAUUAAAUGAUGAUUUUACCAUUUCUCCAUGUAACAUAUAUGCUAGCUUCCUUGGUCGUUCAUGGGUAUGUGUGUGGCAAGGUGCCUCGUUCCCUUGGUAGUUCAUGGGCAUGCUGUGUGGCAAGAUGCCUUGUUCCCAUAGGUAGCCUGACUAUGUGGCUUGCCAUGACCUAGCCUUGCCAGCCUCACAUGCAUUCUUCCCUUGGUCGUUCAUGGAUGGGCAUGUGUGUGGCAAGGGGCCUCGUUCUCUUGGUCGUUCAUGGGCAUGUGUGUGGCAAGGUGCCUCGUUUCCUUGGUCGAUCAUGGGCAUGUGUGUGGCAAGGUGCCUCGUUCCCUUGGUCGUUCAUGGGCAUGCUGUGUGAGUUAUUGGUUUCAAAACUGACUUGGAUGUAUAAUCAUUAACUGGGUUUUUGAGAUUGAUAUAUUGUGUUAUAUAAUGUUAUGUUUACCACAAAACUUAAUAUCCUGCUGAAUUGUAUAUUUUUUGAAAUAUGAAAUGCACCCAAUGAAGACUGCAAUAAUUCCAUAAACUAGUAACAACUUCGUCAUUUUUGAAAUUUAUAAAAAAUUCAAAUUGUCUAUCUAAUCUUAUGUAACCUAACAUAUCCAUCUCACCAGCUCAUUUGCAAACGUUUUUUUUAUCAGAAAU